rnacentral:rRNA from 1 species
AUGCCUUCGCACAUUAGCGAUACUCACAUUGCUCUUAUUCCUAAGAAGUUAGUUCCUCGAAUUCCUUCAGAUUAUCGUCCUAUAAGUCUUUGUAAUGUCAUUUACAAGAUCAUUUCCAAAACCUUGGCCAAUAGACUCAAACCUCAUCUCCCUGAUAAUAUUGAUCAUUCUCAACAAGCUUUCAUUGAGGGUAGACGCAUAUCUAACAAUAUCAUCUUGGCUCAGGAGAUAACUCAUUCGUUUGCUCUUAAAUCUUGGAAACAACAAGCUUUCUUGCUUAAAAUUGAUUUGGCUAAGGCUUUCGAUCGACUUGAAUGGAAUUUCAUCGUUUCGGCUCUUUCGCAAAGGGGGUUGCACGGUCAUUUCAUAAAUUUGGUGUAUGCUUGCAUCUCUUCCCCAAGGUUCUCAGUCAUUAUUAAUGGCCAGCCUUUUGCGAACUUUCAUAGCAAUAGAGGUUUAAGACAGGGUUGUCCCUUAUCGCCUUAUCUGUUUGUUCUUGCUAUUAAUGAGCUUUCUUUAAGCCUGCAUGAUGCUAUGAUACAAAAUCAACUGUCUGGCAUUUCUCUUGGUCCAAACUGUCCACCUAUUCAUUCAAUGCUUUUUGCUGAUGACUUGUUGAUUUGUGGUAAUGCCACAGUUCAGGAAGCUACCCAAAUGGCUCAUCUCAUCAACCACUUAUGU